AUGCGCUGUGAUCAAGAACUGCCGAAGUGCCAAUGGCAGACCCAUGGAGUCACCUUCGACACCACCCUUAAGGUACUUCCGUUGGGGUGCUAUGACGUCAUUCUUGGCAUCGACUGGCUAGCACAGCACAGCCCCAUGAAAGUGCACUGGCUGGAGAAGACGAUGGAUUUUGAGUACCAAGGCUCCACCAUCCACCUCCAAGGGGCGAAGGCAGAUGUUAGCCAAUGCAAAUCCCUUUCCGGCGAGGAACUAGCUGAGUUGCUGCAUUGCGCUGGGGUCGUGCACAUGGUUCAGCUUUGUGCCACUAUGCAAGGGGAGCAAAGCUUGAUAGAAGUGCCGGUGCCUGCGGAGAUUGAGUCACUGAUCAGCGAGUUUGAGCACCUGUUCGCAGAGCCGAAGGGGCUACCACCGCAGCGUUCGUUCGAUCAUACCAUCCCUCUGCUUCCGGGAGCAAAGUCGGUCAAUGUCCGCCCAUAUCGCUACAGUCCAGCUCAAAAAGACGAGAUUGAGAAGCAGGUAGCGGACAUGCUUGCUCAGGGGAUUAUUGCGCCCAGCUCCAGCCCGUUUGCGUCGCCAGUACUGCUAGUCCAGAAGAAGGAUUUGUCUUGGCGUUUCUGUGUAGACUACCGCCAGCUCAAUGCCAUAACAGUCAAGAACCGUUUUCCAUUCCCGGUCACCGACGAGCUUCUGGAUGAACUUGCGGGGUCCAGGUGGUUCACUAGCUCAGAUCUCCGAGCCGGGUACCAUCAAAUACGUAACCCGAGGACGAGUACAAGACCGCUUUCAAGACCCACCAUGGGCAUUUUGAGUUCAAGGUGCUAG
rnacentral:rRNA from 1 species